GACGAACGCUGGCGGCGUGCUUAACACAUGCAAGUCGAGCGGUAAGGCCCUUUCGGGGUACACGAGCGGCGAACGGUGAGUAACACGUGGGUGACCUGCCCUCAGCUCUGGGAUAAGCCUGGGAAACCGGGUCUAAUACUGGAUAUGACUCCAUGACGCAUGUUGUAGGGGUGGAAAGCCUUGUGCGGCUGAGGAUGGGCCCGCGGCCUAUCAGGCUUGUUGGUGGGGUGANGGCCUACCAAGGCGACGACGGGUAGCCGGCCUGAGAGGGCGACCGGCCA
rnacentral:rRNA from 1 species